UGACCAAAGUAAAUUGAAAGUAAUCGUU
rnacentral:sRNA from 1 species